GGUGGGGGGGCCAGAGCCACAGGAUGGCUUCCCCUCUGAGGGACGAGGAGGAGGAGGAGGAGGAGAUGGUGGUGUCGGAGGAGGAAGAAGAGGAGGAAGAAGAGGGCGACGAGGAGGAGGAGGAGGUGGAGGCGGCCGACGAGGACGAUGAGGAGGACGAUGACGAGGGAGUACUCGGGCGCGGGCCGGGCCACGACCGGGGCCGCGACCGCCACAGCCCCCCCGGCUGCCACCUCUUCCCGCCGCCGCCGCCGCCGCCGCCGCCACCGCUGCCCCCGCCGCCGCCGCCCCCGCCGCCAGAUAAAGAUGACAUUCGGCUGCUGCCUUCGGCAUUGGGUGUGAAGAAGAGAAAACGAGGACCCAAGAAGCAGAAGGAGAACAAGCCAGGGAAACCCCGAAAACGCAAGAAGCGUGACAGUGAGGAGGAAUUCGGUUCUGAGCGAGAUGAGUACCGGGAGAAGUCAGAGAGUGGGGGCAGUGAAUAUGGAACCGGACCGGGUCGGAAACGAAGAAGGAAGCACCGAGAAAAAAAGGAGAAGAAGACAAAGCGGCGGAAAAAGGGGGAGGGAGAUGGGGGGCAAAAGCAGGUGGAGCAGAAGUCGUCAGCAACUCUGCUCCUGACAUGGGGCCUGGAGGACGUGGAACAUGUGUUCUCUGAGGAGGAUUACCACACACUCACCAACUACAAAGCCUUUAGCCAGUUCAUGAGGCCCCUAAUUGCUAAGAAGAAUCCUAAGAUCCCAAUGUCUAAGAUGAUGACCAUCCUUGGGGCCAAAUGGAGAGAAUUCAGCGCGAACAACCCCUUCAAGGGGUCAGCAGCUGCUGUGGCGGCAGCAGCAGCAGCAGCAGCAGCAGCUGUAGCUGAGCAGGUGUCAGCUGCUGUCUCAUCGGCCACCCCCAUAGCACCCUCCGGACCCCCCGCCCUUCCACCACCCCCUGCUGCUGAUAUCCAGCCCCCACCCAUCCGAAGAGCCAAAACCAAAGAGGGCAAAGGUCCAGGCCACAAGAGGCGGAGUAAGAGCCCCCGAGUGCCUGAUGGACGCAAGAAGCUUCGGGGAAAGAAGAUGGCACCACUCAAAAUAAAACUAGGACUGCUGGGUGGCAAGAGGAAGAAGGGAGGCUCGUAUGUUUUUCAGAGUGACGAAGGUCCUGAACCAGAAGCUGAGGAGUCAGACCUGGACAGUGGCAGUGUCCACAGUGCCUCAGGCCGGCCUGAUGGCCCUGUCCGCACCAAGAAACUAAAGAGAGGCCGGCCAGGAAGGAAGAAGAAGAAGGUCCUGGGCUGUCCUGCAGUGGCCGGGGAGGAGGAGGUUGAUGGCUACGAGACAGAUCACCAGGAUUACUGUGAGGUGUGCCAGCAGGGUGGGGAAAUUAUUCUGUGCGACACCUGCCCUCGUGCCUACCACCUCGUCUGCCUUGAUCCUGAACUUGACCGGGCUCCUGAGGGCAAAUGGAGCUGCCCUCACUGUGAGAAGGAGGGGGUCCAGUGGGAGGCCAAGGAGGAAGAGGAAGAAUACGAAGAGGAGGGAGAGGAGGAAGGGGAGAAGGAGGAGGAGGACGAUCACAUGGAGUACUGCCGUGUGUGCAAGGAUGGCGGGGAGCUCCUGUGCUGUGACGCGUGCAUCUCCUCCUACCACAUUCAUUGUCUAAAUCCUCCCCUGCCUGACAUUCCCAAUGGGGAAUGGCUGUGUCCCCGAUGCACAUGCCCCGUGCUGAAGGGCCGAGUGCAGAAGAUCCUGCAUUGGCGGUGGGGGGAGCCACCUGUAGCAGUGCCAGCCCCUCAACAGGCAGAUGGAAAUCCAGAUGUCCCACCACCCCGUCCUCUUCAAGGCAGAUCGGAGCGAGAGUUCUUUGUCAAGUGGGUAGGACUAUCCUACUGGCACUGCUCCUGGGCCAAGGAGCUUCAGCUGGAAAUCUUCCAUUUGGUAAUGUAUCGAAACUACCAGCGGAAGAAUGACAUGGAUGAGCCUCCACCCCUGGACUACGGCUCCGGUGAGGAUGAUGGGAAGAGUGACAAGCGGAAAGUGAAAGAUCCGCACUACGCUGAGAUGGAGGAGAAGUACUAUCGUUUUGGCAUCAAGCCAGAGUGGAUGACUGUCCACCGUAUCAUCAACCACAGUGUGGAUAAAAAGGGGAAUUACCACUAUCUAGUGAAAUGGAGGGACUUGCCAUAUGACCAGUCCACGUGGGAGGAAGAUGAAAUGAAUAUCCCUGAAUAUGAAGAACAUAAGCAAAGCUACUGGAGACACCGAGAACUAAUUAUGGGGGAAGACCCUGCCCAGCCCCGCAAGUAUAAGAAGAAGAAGAAGGAGCUACAGGGUGAUGGGCCUCCCAGUUCUCCCACUAAUGAUCCCACCGUGAAAUAUGAGACUCAGCCACGGUUUAUCACAGCCACUGGAGGCACCCUGCACAUGUAUCAGCUAGAAGGGCUCAACUGGCUCCGCUUCUCAUGGGCCCAGGGCACCGACACCAUUCUGGCUGAUGAGAUGGGGUUGGGCAAGACCAUACAAACCAUCGUCUUCCUCUACUCACUCUAUAAGGAGGGCCACACGAAAGGUCCCUUCUUGGUGAGUGCCCCACUCUCGACCAUCAUUAACUGGGAACGGGAGUUCCAGAUGUGGGCACCCAAAUUCUAUGUGGUGACAUACACGGGUGACAAGGACAGCCGGGCCAUCAUUCGUGAGAAUGAAUUCUCCUUUGAGGACAAUGCCAUCAAAGGGGGCAAGAAAGCUUUUAAGAUGAAGAGGGAGGCACAGGUGAAGUUCCAUGUUCUCCUGACAUCAUAUGAGCUGAUCACCAUUGAUCAGGCAGCACUUGGUUCCAUCCGCUGGGCCUGUCUUGUGGUGGAUGAGGCCCAUCGACUCAAGAACAACCAGUCCAAGUUUUUCAGGGUUCUCAAUGGUUACAAGAUAGAUCAUAAGUUGCUGCUGACAGGAACCCCAUUGCAGAACAAUCUGGAGGAGCUCUUCCAUCUCUUGAACUUCCUCACCCCAGAGAGAUUUAACAACUUGGAGGGCUUCCUGGAGGAGUUUGCUGACAUAUCCAAAGAGGACCAGAUCAAGAAACUGCAUGAUUUGCUGGGGCCACACAUGCUACGGAGGCUCAAGGCAGACGUCUUUAAGAACAUGCCAGCCAAGACAGAGCUCAUCGUUCGGGUGGAGCUAAGCCCCAUGCAGAAGAAAUACUACAAAUACAUUCUGACUCGAAAUUUCGAGGCCUUGAAUUCACGAGGUGGUGGGAACCAGGUGUCGCUGCUGAACAUCAUGAUGGAUCUUAAGAAGUGCUGCAACCAUCCAUACCUUUUUCCCGUGGCUGCUAUGGAGUCCCCAAAACUCCCCAGUGGGGCUUAUGAGGGUGGGGCACUUAUUAAGUCAUCUGGGAAGCUCAUGCUGCUACAGAAGAUGCUUCGAAAGCUGAAGGAGCAAGGACACAGAGUGCUCAUCUUCUCGCAGAUGACCAAAAUGUUAGACUUGCUUGAGGACUUCUUAGACUAUGAAGGCUAUAAGUAUGAGCGCAUCGAUGGUGGCAUCACUGGUGCCCUGAGGCAGGAGGCCAUCGAUCGGUUUAAUGCUCCUGGGGCCCAACAAUUCUGCUUCCUCCUGUCCACCCGUGCUGGGGGCCUGGGCAUCAAUCUGGCCACAGCUGACACUGUCAUCAUCUUUGAUUCUGACUGGAACCCCCAUAAUGACAUCCAGGCCUUUAGCCGGGCUCAUCGGAUUGGCCAGGCCAACAAAGUGAUGAUUUACCGGUUUGUGACUCGUGCGUCCGUGGAAGAGCGGAUCACACAAGUGGCCAAGAGAAAGAUGAUGCUGACACACCUGGUGGUGCGGCCCGGGCUGGGGUCCAAGGCAGGCUCCAUGUCCAAGCAGGAGCUGGACGACAUUCUUAAAUUUGGCACCGAAGAGCUGUUCAAGGAUGAAAACGAGGGAGAGAACAAGGAGGAGGACAGCAGCGUGAUUCAUUACGACAAUGAGGCCAUCGCUCGGCUGUUGGACCGGAACCAGGAUGCAACUGAGGACACUGAUGUGCAGAACAUGAAUGAGUAUCUCAGCUCCUUCAAGGUGGCACAGUACGUCGUGCGGGAAGAAGACAAGAUUGAGGAAAUCGAGCGAGAGAUCAUCAAGCAGGAGGAGAAUGUGGACCCUGACUACUGGGAGAAGCUGCUGAGGCAUCACUAUGAGCAACAGCAGGAAGACCUGGCCCGGAAUCUAGGCAAAGGCAAGCGGGUUCGCAAGCAAGUUAACUAUAAUGAUGCUGCUCAGGAAGACCAAGACAACCAGUCAGAAUACUCGGUGGGAUCAGAGGAGGAGGAUGAAGACUUCGAUGAACGUCCCGAAGGGCGUCGACAGUCAAAGAGGCAGCUCCGGAAUGAGAAAGAUAAGCCACUGCCUCCACUGCUGGCCCGAGUUGGGGGCAACAUUGAGGUGCUGGGCUUCAACACCCGUCAGCGGAAGGCUUUCCUCAAUGCCGUGAUGCGCUGGGGGAUGCCACCACAGGAUGCCUUCACCACGCAGUGGCUGGUGCGGGACCUGAGGGGCAAGACUGAGAAGGAGUUUAAGGCCUAUGUAUCUUUGUUCAUGCGCCAUCUAUGUGAGCCUGGGGCAGACGGCUCUGAAACCUUUGCUGAUGGGGUCCCUCGGGAGGGGCUGAGUCGCCAGCAGGUGUUGACCCGCAUUGGAGUCAUGUCUCUCGUCAAGAAGAAGGUGCAGGAGUUUGAGCACAUCAAUGGGCGUUGGUCAAUGCCGGAACUGAUGCCCGACCCCAGUGCUGACUCUAAGCGUUCCUCCAGAGCCUCCUCUCCUACCAAAACGUCUCCCACCACUCCUGAGGCUUCUGCUACCAACAGUCCCUGCACCUCUAAACCUGCUACUCCAGCUCCAAGUGAGAAAGGAGAAGGCAUAAGGAUACCUCUUGAGAAGGAGGAAGUUGAAAGCCAAGAGGAAAAGCCAGAGAAGAACAGCAAAAUUGGGGAGAAGAUGGAGACAGAGGCUGAUGCCCCCAGCCCAGCCCCAUCACUCGGGGAGCGGCUGGAGCCAAGGAAGAUUCCUCUAGAGGAUGAGGUGCCAGGGGUACCUGGAGAGAUGGAGCCUGAACCUGGGUACCGUGGGGACAGAGAGAAGUCAGCCACAGAGUCGACGCCAGGAGAAAGGGGGGAGGAGAAGCCGUUGGAUGGACAGGAACACAGGGAGAGGCCGGAGGGGGAAACGGGGGAUUUGGGCAAGAGAGAAGAUGUAAAAGGUGACCGGGAGCUUCGACCAGGGCCUCGAGAUGAGCCACGGUCCAAUGGGCGACGAGAGGAAAAGACCGAGAAGCCCCGGUUCAUGUUCAAUAUCGCAGAUGGUGGCUUCACAGAGCUUCACACACUGUGGCAAAAUGAGGAACGGGCAGCUAUUUCCUCGGGGAAACUCAAUGAGAUCUGGCACAGAAGACAUGACUAUUGGCUUCUGGCUGGGAUUGUCCUCCAUGGCUACGCACGGUGGCAGGACAUCCAGAAUGAUGCUCAAUUUGCCAUUAUCAAUGAGCCAUUUAAAACUGAAGCCAAUAAGGGGAACUUUCUGGAGAUGAAAAAUAAGUUCCUGGCCCGGAGGUUCAAGCUCCUGGAGCAGGCGCUGGUGAUUGAGGAGCAGCUGCGGCGGGCGGCCUACCUGAACCUGUCGCAGGAGCCGGCGCACCCCGCCAUGGCCCUCCACGCCCGCUUCGCCGAGGCCGAGUGCCUGGCCGAGAGCCACCAGCACCUCUCCAAGGAGUCGCUGGCGGGGAACAAGCCGGCCAACGCCGUCCUGCACAAGGCUCUGACACCACUCACCACCUCCCGUGCCUCCUGACUGUUUCCUCCCCAUCAUCCCCAACCCCAAACCUUGCUCUUCCAGUAUGAGAUGUUCUGACAACUCCCCGCCCCCAUGUCUUCCGAUACCCCCCCCAUCCUCCUUUUCUCCAUACUCCCUUUUUCCUUCUUCUUUCUUUCCAUUGGUCUUCUGUGGUCAUCUGUUCUCUCUGUCUCUCUUCCUGAUGCUUGGUCUUCUCCCCUGAGUUGCUUCUGUUUUCUGUCUACUUGUUUUACUUCCUUGAUUUCUGGUUCUUUGACAUCCGUAUCCUCCUCUCUCGCUCUUUUUCUGCCUGUAUCUGUCCAUCUGAUGCCUCUUUUCCUGGCUCCAUCUCUCUAUUUCCCUGUCUUUCUCUUCCCCUUCUUUCUCUGUGGCCCGGGCCCCAGUUCUGAACCAGCUGGAGGAGUUGCUGAGCGACAUGAAGGCGGACGUGACCCGCCUGCCAGCCACACUGUCGCGAAUACCCCCCAUCGCAGCCCGCCUUCAGAUGUCCGAGCGCAGCAUCCUCAGCCGGCUGGCCAGCAAGGGCACGGAGCCUCACCCCACACCGGCCUUCCCCCCGGGUCCCUACGCUACACCUCCGGGGUACGGGGCGGCCUUCAGCGCCGCACCCGUAGGGGCCUUGGCCGCCGCAGGCGCCAAUUACAGCCAGAUGCCAGCAGGGUCCUUCAUCACAGCCGCCACCAACGGCCCUCCAGUGCUGGUGAAGAAGGAGAAGGAAAUGGUGGGGGCAUUGGUGUCAGACGGGCUGGAUCGGAAGGAGCCCCGAGCCGGGGAGGUGAUCUGUAUAGACGACUGACUGGAUCCCAGGCCUGCCCUUCACCCAGGCCCCGUCCCCGAGGCCGACCCCCAGCUCAAGCACUGGGGCCUGCUGCCAACCCUCCGCCUUCCCCACCCCUUGGGCCAUCACUGGGCUAGGAACCCCUUUGUCCUUCUCUGCAGCUCCUCUCUUCAAGAAGGGCCCUUUGUCUUUCUCCACUCCCACGCACCUUUCCCACCAAGCCUUGAAGACUGUGCUGGUGAGAAGGGGUCUGGGUGGGAGAUGGUUUGCAGGGUCUUCCAAGUACCUUCAUCCCCCACUGCCAAGUAUACACAACUUCCCAGUAAAUGGUUGUGGGGAGGAAAGAGGUGGAGCCUCCCCAGUCGUUUCCCUGCAGUAUCAGCUCCAUCUCUUACAGAAGUGGAGGAUUAGCCUUGCCUGGCCUCUAGGAACUUUUGUGGGGAAGACAGCUUUGAAGAGAGGAGGGGGACUUUUAGAGAGGGAUGAAAAUGAGCCCUGGGAGGGAGGAAGGGAAGAGGAGGGGUGGCUGCAUGUUACCUUCCCUACCUCUCCCCACAUGGAGGGUGGAGCAGUUAUGAGGGAGGAAGUCAAUUGCUGUUCAGCCUCAGAAUAAAGGCGCCGUUCACUGGCUCAGUUACCUCCUGUGUACCGGCAUCUUGUGUUGGGAAUCCCCCUCUCUAGGGACCAAGGACCACCCCUACAAAAAGAGUAAUGGUUGGGUGAUAACUCCCUCAAGCCAAAGAGGAGCUCCCCAACCUGUUCUAGGGACCCAGGUAACCUAGAAGGGUGGGAGAGAAUACAGUGGGCCAGACAUGGGGGAAGCCCCCAGCUCUGGGGCUCAGGUUCCUCGAAGACUUUACUACCCUCCCUCCUCAAGGCCUAGAUACAGACUACAUUUGCUAAGUCAGGCAGGGGACCUAGUCAGAGUCUUGGGACCGACCUUGUCGUUGGGACCAGAGCAAAAUAGUGGAGGGCAGGCUAGGGAAAUGUGGGCACAUCCCCCCUCCCAGGAGGGGCUGGGGAGAGUGGCAGUUUGCAUGGCGAACCCCCCACUUCCUCUUUGCUGCCCCUUCACCUUCUUGCCACCCCUUUCCCAGUAUCUCUUCACACCCACUCCUGGUCUGUCCUGAUCCCCUCUUCUGUAUCAGGUUUAUUGGUUGUACAUAUAAAUUAUACUUUCCUUUC